rnacentral:rRNA from 1 species
UACAGAGGUCUCAAGCGUUGUUCGGAUUCAUUGGGCGUCAAGGGUGCGUAGGCGGCGCGGUAAGUCGGAUGUGAAAUCUCGGAGCUUAACUUCGAAACUGCAUUCGAUACUGCCGUGCUUGAGGACUGGAGAGGAGACUGGAAUUUACGGUGUAGCGGUGAAAUGCGUAGAUAUCGUAAGGAAGACCAGUGGCGAAGGCGGGUCUCUGGACAGUUCCUGACGCUGAGGCACGAAGGUCAGGGGAGCAAACGGG